rnacentral:rRNA from 1 species
GACGAACGCUGGCGGCGUGCCUAAUACAUGCAAGUUGAGCGCUGAAGGAUGGUACUUGUACCAACUGGAUGAGCAGCGAACGGGUGAGUAACGCGUGGGGAAUCUGCCUUUGAGCGGGGGACAACAUUUGGAAACGAAUGCUAAUACCGCAUAAAAACUUUAAACACAAGUUUUAAGUUUGAAAGAUGCAAUUGCAUCACUCAAAGAUGAUCCUGCGUUGUAUUAGUUAGUUGGUGAGGUAAAGGCUCACCAAGGCGAUGAUACAUAGCCGACCUGAGAGGGUGAUCGGCCACAUUGGGACUGAGACACGGCCCAAACUCCUACGGGAGGCAGCAGUAGGGAAUCUUCGGCAAUGGACGAAAGUCUGACCGAGCAACGCCGCGUGAGUGAAGAAGGUUUUCGGAUCGUAAAACUCUGUUGGUAGAGAAGAACGUUGGUGAGAGUGGAAAGCUCAUCAAGUGACGGUAACUACCCAGAAAGGGACGGCUAACUACGUG